UCACUCAGAAGAGAGCCGACACCAGCACUUUGUCUGGACUGCCUGUGAGCCGUUGCCACCAAGGUUUUAGUUUUAUGCUGGUGAAGAUUCCUGGACAGUUUCUGGCAAUGAGUUUUCUUCUUUUUCACCAGCAUAACACACAUGAACACACAGGCAUGCAUUCACACACUCACUCACACACACACACACACACACCCCUCCCUUCUCUUAAGUAGGGCAAAAUGUUAAGUGACAUGAAUUCCUGUAACUCUGGACAGUUUCCGGCAACGAACUUUCUUCUUUUUCAGCAGCAUAACCAACAUGCACACACAGGCAUGUACACACACAAAUACACAGAGAGACCUCCUCUUAAAGUAGGGCAAAAUCCAAGGUUCUGUUGUCCUUGCAGGUGAAUUAAGCGGUCUGUGUUGAGCGACAUGAAUUCCUUUACCGCGUGGCGUUCCAAAGGCGAUUCUCACCCGGGUGUUGCCUGUGCUGUGGCUCUCCUCUAUGCCCAAGAAACAGGUCUGCAUCCAGGCUUGGUGGGAAUUUCCACUACAGAAAGAGAAUCAAAUACCCCAGCCACUAUGCCAUGAAAUGCAACCUCUGGCUUCGCAACCUCUGUGAGUUGCUGAAUUCUUCCUUCCAAGUUGCUCGCCAACUACCAGACUCUCUGCGCAGUGAGUAUGGGUCCUGGACCUGAAGAUCUCAUUCAUGAAUCCUUGUGGGUGAGAUACCAAGACACAUGCUGGGAUCAGUUUGUUGCUCUAAAAGCAAGCAUGAAAAUACUCAGUGAUAUUGGUUAGAAUCCUCAGAGAGGUCCAAGCUUAAUAAUGGGCUAAAUUAGCCCUAAAUUAAAGGCUGCUCUGGACCCAACCUAAUGAAGCUGACAGGAUAGAAUCCAAUGGCAUCCUACACCACAAUGACAAAUAACUUAGUCAUGUGCCAGAAAAAAAAAAAAAAAAAAAGAAUCUAACAUUACUUUAACAGUAGAACAAAAAUCAUAAAUCUAGAAACAAAUCAAUAAAUAUAAAAAGGCCCAAAGACAGAGAUGCUAGAACCAGUAGACAAGAAUGUAAAAUUAUCAACUAUAAAUAUUUUUCAUCUGUUCAAUAAAGCAGAGGAGAAGACGAGCAUGAAAAAGAGGAAAAUUAACUCUAUCAAAUCCAACUGAACUUCUAGAGAAGAAAAUUGUAAUAUAUGAUAUAAAAAUACAUUACAUGGAUUUACAGCAGAUUAGACACUGGAAAAGAAAAUAUCUGGGAAUUUGAAUAAAGAACAAAAUAAAUGAUCAAAAAUAAACAUAUAAAAAGACUGAGGAGUUCCUUUGUAGUGCAGCAGGUUAAGGAUUCAGUGUUGUCACUGCAGCGGAUUGGGUUGCUUCUGUGGCAUAGAUUUGAUACCUGGCCUAGGAACUUCCAUGUACCACAGGCACAGCCAAUAAAAAAAAAAAAAAAGACUGAAAAUGAACAAAAAUCAGUGAAAUACAGGACAAUAUCACUGAUAUAGGAUACAUGAAAAUGGAGUUCCAUGAAAAAUGGGGAAUAAAAUAUUUGAAAUUAUAAUGGCAAAAAUUCCAACAUUUGAUGAAAACUAAAAAUGAUUAAACCCAAGAAAUACAAUGAAUCACAGAAAAAAACUUCAAAAAAAAAAAA
rnacentral:lncRNA from 1 species